rnacentral:lncRNA from 1 species
UGGAAACAGAGUCAAGGAUGUCCUGAUUUAGAUAAAGGGUCAAGGACAACCUGAUUCAAAAAGUGAAUAAUCCAUCUCUCUGACUGCAGAAGCCAGAAAUAAUCACCUGGUGGACUUCAGCGUUCUUAAUUUUACAGGCUUAGCAACCUAUUUUCCUUCCUCCCUUUGACUGCAGAACCAACCAAAGGAUAUUUCACAAGGAAAGCCUUAUAUUUUCUGUUUCUGCCAUCUUCCUUAGAUUUCCAGGUGAAAACUGCCAUUCCCGCCUCCUCCUCUUUUUUGUUGUAUUUCUUGGUAUGUGUCAUGAGCCUUGGACCUUGAGAUAACACAGGUCAUUAAAUUAUCCUAUAUGUUUAUUCUAGAAAAGUAUUUACCCUGCCAUUUGUUGGCUUGAUUUUUUUUUCUCCUUGUUCUUUGUAUAUUUUCUGCAGUCUUGGAGCAGAUUUCCAGCAUACAUAAAGUCAUUAUUACAUUCAUAAUAGCAAGAUGUAAAAAGAAAGCAAGGAAGCAAUGAAAAGAAAGUCACCUGCUUUUAAAUAUCAGAGGACAAAGAUAAUCUGAGUACAAUCAUAUUUCCUGAAAGUUCCAAGAAAUUAUUAACACAGCAGAAAAUAAAGCUUCUCCUUUAUUUCACGUGAUGUUUUCCCUAUAUGCCAGAGGUUUUUUUGGUUUGUUUGUUUGUUUGUUUGUUUUGGAAUAUAUCUAGAAGAAAAUGAAUACUUCCAUACUCAGUGGAAAUGUAAUGAGCUUUUCAGUCUUGCAGGAGAAGUUCAAAACUGACAAAAUAAAAUGAACUCAGUAAUUUCACCCUUGAAGUUGUUUUUUGAUGUUAGCAAAAGUCAGCAUGUAACAGAAUUACGUAAUGGGUUAGAGCUGGACAGGUCCAAAGGCAAAGGGACUGAGAGGUAUGAAUAAGAGCUGCUGGAGGGAAGGGGAGACAGCUCUACUGAUAGAGUUGGAGCAGAAGUAUAAAAACGAGCGCUUUGGAGCGUUUGCCCAUGAAAACAGCAAAACAGAUCAGCAAUAAAGGACGCCAGCUUGUGGUGGGUGCGAGGACA